rnacentral:rRNA from 1 species
UACAGAGGGUGCAAGCGUUAAUCGGAAUUACUGGGCGUAAAGCGUGCGUAGACGGUUACGUAAGUCGGAUGUGAAAGCCCCGGGCUCAACCUGGGAAUUGCAUUCGAGACUGCGUAGCUAGGAUGCGGAAGAGGGAAGCGGAAUUUCCGGUGUAGCGGUGAAAUGCGUAGAUAUCGGAAGGAACACCAGUGGCGAAAGCGGCUUCCUGGUCCAGCAUCGACGUUCAGGCACGAAAGCGUGGGGAGCAAACAGG